UCUGGUGGAAAUAGCGGAGGGGUCACACCCGUUCCCAUUCCGAACACGGACGUUAAGUCCUCCAGCGCCGAUGGUACUUGGGACGCGAGUCCCUGGGAGAGUAGGUCUCUGCCAGAG
rfam:Dethiobacter alkaliphilus AHT 1 ctg19, whole genome shotgun sequence.